rnacentral:hammerhead_ribozyme from 1 species
AUGCGAAACCCCGUUAAUAGCGGGGUCGUCCUGGAGUGGUGUCCCGGACCUGAUGAGCAGCUAAAG